UGAGGAAUAUUGGUCAAUGGGCGAGAGCCUGAACCAGCCAAGUAGCGUCCAGGAUGACGGCCCUAUGGGUUGUAAACUGCUUUUAUAUGGGAAUAAAGUGAGGGACGUGUCCCUUAUUGCAUGUACCAUAUGAAUAAGGACCGGCUAAUUCCGUGCCAGCAGCCGCGGUAAUACGGAAGGUCCAGGCGUUAUCCGGAUUUAUUGGGUUUAAAGGGAGCGUAGGCUGUUUGUUAAGCGUGUUGUGAAAUGUAAGAGCUCAACUUUUAGAUUGCAGCGCGAACUGGCAGACUUGAGUGCGCACAACGUAGGCGGAAUUCAUGGUGUAGCGGUGAAAUGCUUAGAUAUCAUGACGAACUCCGAUUGCGAAGGCAGCUUACGGGAGCGCAACUGACGCUAAAGCUCGAAGGUGCGGGUAUCGAACAGG
rnacentral:rRNA from 1 species